CUGAGUCCGGAAGGGGUAGCUGCCCACCACCCAGUGCUCCGUGCAUUACUGCAGGCUGCCUUGAAGCUGGGUGUGUUGGUUCACAGCUUGACCAGGGCUGUGCUGGGGAAGAGAGAAGGAACUCCUCCUUCUUUACCAUGGGAAUCUCAACAAUUUUUUCCUCACUAACCCACAUCAUGUUCUGGUACUAAGGGCACCACAAGGUGGCUGCACAAUGUGGCUGAGAUGGGUGGGAAGCCCCCUCUCUUCUCUGGUUUGUAUUUGAUGGAUCAAGAGGACCCAAAAGGGCCCCAAGAAGAAACAAACCACCUGCUUCCUUCAAGCUCUGCCUGCUCUGUCCUGCAGCUGGGGGAGAAGGAACAAGAUGCUCGUGCUAUUUGUGCGCUGGAGUCCCCGAAUGGUACAAAUGGCUGAUAACUGAAAGAUUGGAGGUUCAAGUCUACCCAGAGAUGCCUUGGAAGAAACGCCUGACAAUCUACUUCAGAAACAUCAGUCACUGAAAACCCAAUGGGGCACAGUUCUACCGUGACUCACAUGGGGUCACCAUGAGUUGGAAUCAACUUGAUGACAACUGGUUUUUUAUUUGGGUGCUAGACGUAUUUCUCCUACUAGAUUGUAAGCCACUUAGGGCAGAAUGAAUGAAGGAAGGAGAGAAUAAAUAAUGAUAUUGUGCCUGUGAUACUUGACCCAAGGUUUUCAAAGUGAUUCGU